AGUGAACGCUGGCGGUAGGCCUAACACAUGCAAGUCGAACGGCAGCACAGUAAGAGCUUGCUCUUACGGGUGGCGAGUGGCGGACGGGUGAGGAAUACAUCGGAAUCUACUUUUUCGUGGGGGAUAACGUAGGGAAACUUACGCUAAUACCGCAUACGACCUACGGCUGAAAUCAAUGGAUCUUCGGACCUUGCGCGAUUGAAUGAGCCGAUGUCGGAUUAGCUAGUUGGCGGGGUAAAGGCCCACCAAGGCGACGAUCCGUAGCUGGUCUGAGAGGAUGAUCAGCCACACUGGAACUGAGACACGGUCCAGACUCCUACGGGAGGCAGCAGUGGGGAAUAUUGGACAAUGGGCGCAAGCCUGAUCCAGCCAUACCGCGUGGGUGAAGAAGGCCUUCGGGUUGUAAAGCCCUUUUGUUGGGAAAGAAAAGCAGCAGGUUAAUACCCCGCUGUUCUGACGGUACCCAAAGAAUAAGCACCGGCUAACUUCGUG
rnacentral:rRNA from 1 species